GUCCUUAUCUGUAGGGACUUGUGCGUACAUGUGGCAGUGGUUCAGAGUUCUGUUCUGUGAGACCUUCUGUGUGCCCAGUUUAAGGGAGGUGGUGAAGGCUGCUGCUGGGCUGCUGUACUAAUGAAGAUGAAACACAUCACCACCAGCACAGAUCAGACUCCUAUUUAUGACUAACUUGGCAGCAAUUUCAAAGGAAGAAAGGAGCAGAGUCCAUUAUCAUCAAGGCAUCUCUGCAUUUGGCCCUUCUGCCCCUGAAAUGUGUCAUCUGCUGUAAAUGAAGAAAAAAUUUCAGAUGCCACUCUGGAACCCCAGCCUGGAAACUAAGGGGUUAGGGACUUGAAACUUCUCAACCCAAAGUGCCAAUGUUGGCUCCUGUCACCAGCUGAGAGCAGGGGAACGUCAGCCCACUGUCAUGUUUGCAAAGGCUCAAGUUUUCUUACCUAUAAAUUGAAGACAGUAAAUCAUCUAUCUUUCAAAUUUGGUAUAUGGACUAAAAGAGCAACACAUAUACAGUGCUCCAUGGGAUCGAAUUCAGGACUUUGCACUUGAAAAGGAGGGGUGGCACCACUGAGCUAAAUCCCUGGCCCAGGUCCUAUUGAAUAUUAACCUCAAGAAAUUUUAUUUUCCAACAUGCUAAGUUUUUUUUUCUUUAGUUUAUAU
ensembl:lncRNA